UACGAAGGGGGCUAGCGUUGUUCGGAUUUACUGGGCGUAAAGCGCACGUAGGCGGAUCGAUCAGUCAGGGGUGAAAUCCCAGAGCUCAACUCUGGAACUGCCUUUGAUACUGUCGAUCUGGAGUAUGGAAGAGGUGAGUGGAAUUCCGAGUGUAGAGGUGAAAUUCGUAGAUAUCUGGAAGAACACCAGUGGCGAAGGCGGCUCACUGGCCCGAUACUGAC
rnacentral:rRNA from 1 species